rnacentral:tRNA from 1 species
GCCUUCGUGGUGUAAUGGUUAACACACUCGGCGCGUAUUCCAGAGGGCCAGGUUCGAGUCCCAGCGAGGGCA